CACACGGCAGUGGUAUUUUUACAUCGCUGAGCUCGGACCAUGCAGUCUAAUGAAUUCCAUGUGCUCCCUCCCUAUUCGAGCCAUGGACUGCAGCAAGCGCAAGAGCUAUUAGAACCCAGUGGCUCCCCGGUGGAUAUGGAACACACGGAAUGUUGAUGGUGCUGAUAUUACACGGAUCCCACAAAUCCCCCUGACAUCGCAAAAAUUGUUAUCAAUAGUUACCCUCAUGUUAAAUAGGUAGCCUACCGGACUGCAUCGAAAACCAGCUUCUGGUGGAUAUUUAGUAAUUACAGAGCGCAUAUAGGCUACAUUCCGCGCGCUCAUAUGCCAUUGGUCUGCGUAUUAGGCUCUGCGUUAUUUCCCAGGGAAUCAAGUUGAUGGAUUGGCUAUGGAUGCAUUGGGUGGUUGUUUGACGAAUCUGGAUCAGAACCUUCGAAUAAGAAUGGCUGCGUCCUUUUGAGACAUGUAUGUAUGUACACACCUCGACUGCAUCCAUGCUUAUACUUAUAUCUUUUUUUGAUUUUACGCUUGCUACAUCGAUCAUGUUCGGGAAUAUUGCCUGGACAUGUGACCCUCUAUGGUAACUGACAUUAUACCUCUGCAAAUCCUCCAGUAGGCUAUCAGAGAGCUGCACCAAUAAGGGAUGAACAUCAAUCCAAUUGUGGAUAGUCCAUUUCAAUCUCGGGUUAUGGCAUUAACUGUGUACGCUCAAGAAUAAUUUCACAGAGAAAUCCUAUAUAGGGCAUCACGUUCAGUUCCACAGGAAAGGGCUAUAUGAAGAAAUAGCCCCAGACUUAUCGCUCUCUCCCAAACUCGGCAGCAUUUCCCCCCAUCGGAAUACAAAGUCAAAAGCUACCGGCACCCCGCGGGUUUUCUCUACUGUGGCCACAGGAAUGGUGGAUUCAUCCCAAUUUCAUGCACCUCUUUUUGAUCAUUUGUAUUUUUUUUUAUUGCGUUCGAGGUUCGUUUUUUUACGUUUUUGAUUCUGCUGCUGCCGAUGUAGACUACGUGUGGUUGCCUCGAAUCCUUUCACAUGGGUGAGAAUUGUGCAUCGGUCUUACAGCCAAUCCAAUCGGAUACCUUGGCCCUGGUGUGUUAGAUUUUUUUGCUUCAUUUUGAGCACAAUCCCACAUCUUCGAGAAAAUGCAGAGGACCACCAGCCACUGAACUAUGAAUGCUGAUCACAAUGAUCUCCUCCCUCCAGCGCCAGACAAUGAGAGAUCCUAGGCUGAGGGGGGCUCGGUCCUAUCCCCUCUUUGUGCUGCUGUUGGCCCUCCAGAUCCUGGCGGUGGCCGGCCUGGUGCGUGCCCAGACCUGCCCCUCUGUCUGCUCCUGCAGCAACCAGUUCAGCAAGGUGAUCUGCACCCGCCGAAGCCUGCGAGAUGUCCCCGACGGCAUCUCAACCAACACACGCUACCUGAACCUGCAGGACAACCUCAUCCAGGUGAUCAAGGUGGACAGCUUCAAGCAUCUACGGCACCUGGAAAUCCUGCAGCUGAGCAAGAACCACAUUCGCAACAUUGAGAUUGGCGCCUUCAACGGCCUGGCCAGUCUCAACACCCUGGAGCUGUUCGACAACCGUCUCACCACCAUCCCCAAUGGGGCCUUCGAGUACCUCUCCAAGCUCAAGGAGCUGUGGCUGAGGAACAACCCCAUUGAGAGCAUCCCGUCGUAUGCCUUCAACCGGGUCCCCUCGCUGCGAAGACUGGACCUGGGAGAGCUCAAGCGGCUCUCCUACAUCUCAGAUGGAGCCUUCCAGGACCUCAGCAACCUGCGCUACCUGAACCUGGGCAUGUGCAACCUCAAGGAGAUCCCCAACAUCCUACCCUUGGUCAGGCUGGAGGAGCUAGAGAUGUCAGGGAACCAGAUCUCUGUCAUAGGGCCUGGCUCUUUCGCAGGGCUGGCGAACUUGCAGAAGUUGUGGAUGAUGCACGCUCAGAUCCAGACCAUCGAGAGGAACUCCUUUGACGACCUCCAGUCCCUGGUAGAGCUCAACCUGGCCCACAACAACCUCACCCUGUUGCCCCAUGACCUCUUCACCCCCCUGCACCGCCUGGAGAGAGUCCAUCUGCACCAUAACCCCUGGAACUGUAACUGUGACAUCCUGUGGCUUAGCUGGUGGCUGAAGGAGACAGUGCCUGCCAACACCAGCUGCUGUGCCCGCUGCCACACCCCAGCCAGCUACAGGGGUCGCUACAUCGGCGAGCUAGAGCACAGCUACUUCCAGUGCGAUGUGCCUGUCAUCGUGGAGCCGCCGGCGGACCGCAACGUCACAGAGGGCAUGGCGGCUGAGCUCAAGUGCAGAACGAGCUCGUUGACCUCGGUAAGCUGGCUCACCCCCAACGGGUCUCUGGUGACCCACGGGGCGUACAAGGUGCGUCUGGCUGUCCUCAACGACGGGACGUUGAACUUCACCACUGUCACCAUGCAGGACACGGGGACUUACACCUGCAUGGUGAGCAACACGGCGGGCAACAUCUCCGCCUCUGCCGUCCUCAACGUCACCUCGGUGGAGAACAGCGGCGUCACCUACUUCACCACAGUCACCGUGGAGACCACAGAGACAGUAGACGACAGCCAGACUCCUGCUCUUCCACCGAUUGGCUGGGUAUCAUCUUCGACCACCAGGGGGCCUCCGGUCCAGACCAGGACCACAGAGCGGACCUACACCGUCUCUGUUCUGGACCUGGACGGGGAGGGGGACCGCGGCUUGGAGGAGGUGAUGAAGACCACCAAGAUCAUCAUCGGCUGCUUCGUGGCCAUCACGCUUAUGGCCGCCGUCUUGCUGGUUAUUUUCUACAAGAUGAGGAAGCAGAACCACCAACAGGACCCCGAUGGCCCCGCCUCCUCCAUGGAGGUCAUCACAGUGGAGGAGGAGCUCGCUGGUGUCGCUGCCAUGGAGACCCACUUACACCUGCCCCCAUUGGAGCAUUACAACCAUUACAACACUUACAGGAGCACCUACCACCACUCCCACACACAGGAACCUUUACUGAUUCAAGCCAGCUCCAAAGACAAUGUGCAAGAGACCCAAAUUUGAUUGAGAUUCAUUAGAGGAAUCCGAUAUCAGCUAUCUCAUACAGGAAGUAUCAUGGACAGAAUGCGAGAGAGGAGGUGGACCUAUGUACCCCGACUUCAAUCAAGCAGGUUUCAGUCACCCACUUGGUUUCAGUCCCCCACUUGGUUUCAGUCACCCACUUGGUUUCAGUCACCCACUUGGCUUCAGUCACCCCCAAGAUUGAAGCGGGAGACAAAUCCAGCAAUGGCCUCCAUGCCAGGCUUCUCACACUGGGCAGACAGGAGUCCUAGGAUGGACAGAUCUCUCUCACUGGGAAGACAGGGCUCCUGGGAUGGACAGGCCUCUCUCACUGGGCAGACAGGGCUCCUGGGAUGAACAGACCAGGCCUUUCUCACUGGGCAGACAGGGGUCCUGGGAUGAACAGACCAGGCCUCUCUCACUGGGCAGACAGGGGUCCUGGGAUGAACAGACCAGGCCUUUCUCACUGGGUAGACAGGGGUCCUGGGAUGAACAGACCAGGCCUCUCUCACUGGGCAGACAGGGGUCCUGGGAUGGACAGAUCAGGCCUCUCUCACUGGGAAGACAGGGCUCCUGGGAUGGACAGGCCUCUCUCACUGGGCUGACAGGGCUCCUGGGAUGAACAGACCAGGCCUCUCUCACUGGGCAGACAGGGGUCCUGGGAUGGACAGGCCUCUCUCACUGGGCAGACAGGGGUCCUGGGAUGGACAGACCAGGCCUUUCUCACUGGGCAGACAGGGGUCCUGGGAUGAACAGACCAGGCCUCUCUCACUGGGCAGACAGGGGUCCUGGGAUGGACAGAUCAGGCCUCUCUCACUGGGAAGACAGGGCUCCUGGGAUGGACAGGCCUCUCUCACUGGGCAGACAGGGCUCCUGGGAUGAACAUACCAGGCCUCUCUCACUGGGCAGACAGGGGUCCUGGGAUGGACAGGCCUCUCUCACUGGGCAGACAGGGGUCCUGGGAUGGACAGACCAGGCCUUUCUCACUGGGCAGACAGGGGUCCUGGGAUGGACAGACCAGGCCUCUCUCACUGGGCAGACAGGGGUCCUGGGAUGGACAGACCAGGCCUCACUCACUGGGCAGACAGGGGUCCUGGGAUGAACAGACCAGGCCUCUCUCACCGGGCAGACAGGGGUCCUGGGAUGUGUAGCUCAGGCCUCUCUCACUGGGCAGACAGGGGUCCUGGGAUGUGUAGCUCAGGCCUCUCUCACUGGGCAGACAGGGCUCCUGGGAUGGACAGACCAGGCCUCUCUCACUGGGCAGACAGGGGUCCUGGGAUGGACAGACCAGGCCUCUCUCACUGGGCAGACAGGGGUCCUGGGAUGGACAGACCAGGCCUCUCUCACUGGGCAGACAGGGGUCCUGGGAUGGAUAGCUCACACUGCUUCCCCUCAUACGGCGUUGGAUCAAGGGUGCCUUCGUUGAAGAGGAGAUUCUGUCUGAGUAGCAUAUACGGUUUUUUGAAAAGGGAAAUGUGUAUUUAAUUUAAUUUCCUGUUCUGAGUUAUGACAGUACCAAUCCGUUGAUGUAGUGAUCUACACAUUCUACAGUGUGUUUUCUGGUGUUUUUGAAGUACUCAAUUUGAAAUAUGCACUAUUUGGUCCUGUGCUUUUUUGUAUGUCGAUAGUUUGUGAGCCUGAAAUGCUCAAUUGACGCAGAUUUGAAGUGAAUAACUAUGACAUACAGUAUGUUGUAUCUGUCUUCACAGGCUUCACAGCAUAUCCCCUCUUCUUUGUCUUGGGAAAGCUGAUUUUCUAUCACAGCAUUCCUGCUGUGGUAGUUGCCUGGGAAGCUGUGCAGACAGUAGAUGUUGAAUUUUCUAAAAUGUCUAUCAUUACUGCUUGAUGAUAGUGGAAAGAUGAAAGGGGAUGGAAUGUGAAAUGAUAAUAAUCAUCAUGAUUAGCCCCAAUGACACAAGCUACAUCUACUGUAAGACAAAAGCCCACACACAAUGGAAUGGUGGAAUAGGAUUUUCAGAGGUAAAUUACAAAUACAAUGCACACCGCAACUCCUUUUGUGGACAACAUUCCUCCGUGCUAGCUGUGCUCUGGCAGUUCUCAGACUCAACGUAGGGGGCUUAGUGAUGGAAGAACAACCAUAUAGUGACUACCAGGUGUUUUACAGAACACGUACCGUUCACAAGUCAAAGCAGCCACAUUAUCUAACGUUAGCCCCCCCCCCCCCUCCCCGAUCCCCCCAAAAUGUUGGCUACCGUGUCAGACUCAUCAAAUUCUGAUAUUAUGGUCAGCGCUUGCAAGAUCCACUGUCAGUGAAGGUACAGCAUCUGUCUUCAGGAUUAGCUUCCUGGUAAAACCCAUCGAAUGUUCUCCCCAAUUGAUAAAACAACUUCACCUGAAAUGUGCACUGAAAACUUGAUCCAUGUACCAGCUACAGUCACUUUUCAUGCUUGGGUCACCCUACUUUGAACUGAUUUCAUUCAAAUAUUAUCCAAUUUGAUGAAAACCAUGAUUUUCACUGUUCGGGAACUUUAACAUUGUUUAUCUCGGGAAGGCUAUGUCAUUUUGACUUACCGUUAUGCCUCGCCCACAAUUAUGUUAUUUUGACUGUCAUUACUUGCCAUUCCCACAAUGAUGACGUCAUACCCAUUAGAAAGCUUAAAUGUCCAACAAGGUUUGGACACACCUACUUAUUCAAGGGUUUUUCUUUAUUUUUACUAUUUUCUACAUUGUAGAAUAACAGCGAAGACAUCAAAACUAUGGAAUAACACAUAUGAAAUCAUGUACUAAGCAAAAAAGGGGGAACACUCCAACACUCAGACAUCAUUUACAGAUAGCCAGGGGAACACUCCAACACUCAGACAUCAUUUACAGAUAGCCAGGGGAACACUCCAACACUCAGACAUUAUUUACAGAUAGCCAGGGGAACACUCCAACACUCCUACAUAAUUUACAGAUAGCCAGGGGCACACUCCAACACUCAGACAUCAUUUACAGAUAGCCAGGGGAACACUCCAACACUCAGACAUCAUUUACAGAUAGCCAGGGGAACACACCAACACUCAGACAUCAUUUAAAGAUAGCCAGGGGAACACUCCAACACUCAGACAUCAUUUAUAGAUAGCCAGGGGAACACUCCAACACUCAGACAUUAUUUACAGAUAGCCAGUGGAACACUCCAACACUCAGACGUCAUUUACAGAUAGCCAGGGGAACACUCCAACACUCAGACAUCAUUUACAAAUGUAAGUUGUGUUUAGUGAGUCCGCCAGAUCAGAGGCAGUAGGGAUGACCAGGGAUGUUCUCUUGAUAAGUCUGUGUAUUGGACCAUUUUUCUGUCCUGCUAAGUGUUUAAAAUGUAACUUUUGGUUGUCAGGAAAAUGUAUGGAGUAAAAAGUAUAUACUUUUCUUUAGGAAUGUAGUGAAGUAAAAGUAAAAGUAGUCAAAAAUAUAAAUUGAUAAGUAAAGUACACAUCCCCCAAAAACGACUUAAGUAGUACUUUAAAGUAUUUUUACUUAAGUACUUUACACCAGUGUAUGGGUCAGGGUCAAUUUAACCCGUCAUUUCAGGAUAUUGACCCCAUUGAUGUUGGACAGGGUAUGAAAAACCAUAAGAGAUUGAUUACCAUGUUCUUCAUUGUUCACAUUAAGUUCACAACUGCAAAUCUAUCUGAAAACGAUCAUUUCUAUUUGCCUAUAUGUACCCUGAUAUCUCAAAAAGCAUCUGUUACUCAUGCCAAAUGACACAACAUGAUAUAAAGCAAACCGAAGCUAGGAGGAAAA